UCAGGAAUUCACAACAAAGUCGCGAUCGA
rnacentral:sRNA from 1 species